rnacentral:rRNA from 1 species
AUUGAACGCUGGCGGCAGGCCUAACACAUGCAAGUCGAACGGUAACAGGAAACAGCUUGCUGUUUCGCUGACGAGUGGCGGACGGGUGAGUCAUGUCUGGGAAACUGCCUGAUGGAGGGGGAUAACUACUGGAAACGGUAGCUAAUACCGCAUAACGUCGCAAGACCAAAGAGGGGGACCCUCGGGCCUCUUGCCAUCGGAUGUGCCCAGAUGGGAUUAGCUUGUUGGUGGGGUAACGGCUCACCAAGGCGACGAUCCCUAGCUGGUCUGAGAGGAUGACCAGCCACACUGGAACUGAGACACGGUCCAGACUCCUACGGGAGGCAGCAGUGGGGAAUAUUGCACAAUGGGCGCAAGCCUGAUGCAGCCAUGCCGCGUGUAUGAAGAAGGCCUUCGGGUUGUAAAGUACUUUCAGCGGGGAGGAAGGGAGUAAAGUUAAUACCUUUGCUCAUUGACGUUACCCGCAGAAGAAGCACCGGCUAACUCCGU